GGAUUUCACCAGACUGCCAAAGGAAUCCAAGACACAAACCAGGAUGUAUCCCUAGAGUGACCAUUGCACAAAGAGACAAAUUGCUGAGAAGGUUCCUGUUCCCUGGGGGAAGCCAGGAAGCACGUAAGAAGAAACUACAAUCAGGAAAGAUGACAACACAACUGGUCCCUGGGGGAGACGGAAAGGAUGUGUCGCAGGAGGGGGAGAUGGCAGGGGAAGGGAUGGGGAGGUAGGUAUGGAAGAAGGCUGCCCCUACUAGAAUGAGGAUCGGAUGGCUUGGCAGGGGGCUUCUCAGAGGAGCCAGGGGGAUGAGUAGCAAGACUCAUUGCUUCAGCCACAAACAAUGGUGACCAGAUCCUCAGGGAACCGAGUCAUUUCCAAAGGAAAUCCCCUCGUUCUUCCAAGGCUUCAAAAGGUCCACCAGCCGACAUCAAAAGAAGACCAAGAGAGAGACAGUUUCCUCAAUAAUGAACAAAAACAAAGAGGUGAGGGGGGAGGAACUCCCGGAGAAAUCAAAGCCGGGCCAGUCAUCAAACACUGACUUGAAGAGGGGGGAAGGAAGUCCAUGCUCACCUGGCAGGUCACAAGCGGAGACCCCACGGACCCAAGCCUUGAAGCUAAGAGCUUUCCCUCUCCAGGCCAGUUCCAUUUAAAUUCCCAGUCCAUGAGCUGUGUGAUUGGCUGAAGCCAGCCCAACUCCUCUUACCUUAUUGGUCUAGGCCUGAGAAGAAACACCUACGAGGACUCAGUCUGUCCCAGCAAGUUGAUUGGUACCUUUUAAAUGUGUCUUUCCCGCACCUUUCUGCUGAAUACAAAGCCUUUCUGAGGCUGCUCUAGUCAGUCGCAGCCCUCUGGGUUUUUUCCAAGAGGUUGUUGCUAGGACACCAACAACAGGUGUGGACCACACCUGGCCUGAGCUCCAAUGCUACUGACUUCUCAUUCUUAUUUUCCUGGGCCCCUGGCUGACUUCAGGAAUUUUUUUUUGAAGUUUUUUUUGGGGGGAGGGGGAGAUAUCUUUGCAGACCUGAGUCUUUUCAACAGCAAGAAUUGAGCUUCUUGGGUCUCAUUGCUAAUUAUUUCAAUUCAAAUGGGCAAAACUCUAUGAAAAGUCGAGGUAUGUUGUGAAGGGAGAUCCUUUUCUCUGCCUGUUUUACAGGCUGCCUAGUCUAAAACUCCGUAACCAUACCCUGUGAUCUCAUUCCCACCCAUGCCAACCCCACUGACAUCCCUACUCAACUCUUCAAGGUCCCACAGCCAGAACAGGGACUAGAAUUCAGCCCUCUGGAAGCUCUCUCCUACUAACAGAAAUCUGCCCUGGGCAACACCUCCCCCCACCUGCCCCUUGGAAUUACUUUGUAUAGAUUUUCUAUUUUCUGAUAUGUGUUUCCUCCCAAUAAAGUAUAAGUUUCUUGAA